AAAAUGGAACACAGUGGAAAUCUGUGAGGGGAACAGGACCUUAGAAACUGUCUAGUCUAAGCUCUUCAAUUUACCAAUGCUUUAAGUAAUUUAAAAGUGCUGUGAAUCAAUCGUUUCCUAAAUGUUUCUUCUGAUUGCUUCUUAAUUGCCUGCACUUCCAAGUAAGGCUUCUUCAGGAGACAACCACUUCUAGUGGAAUGGGCAACUAGAAAGUGCAAUGAUGUUAACAGCCCUGGAGAAAUUGUCAACCAGCGUGCGGGGAGAGCUGACAAUGGGGUAUAAACAACAUACUUAAAGCACCAGAAGAUGGAUCUUGGUCUUCUUCCAGGCCUGGAGACUAUUAUUCCUCACUGAAGAAAGCUUAGAGGAUCAGAGGAAGACAAACAUAAGUUUCAUUUUAUUUCCACAUGUCUAUAAUGCUUGCUCAAUGUACAAAUUAUGCAUUUUUAAUAA